GAAUAAUAAUAAGGGAAUUUUCUGAAAUUUUUCGGAAAUUUUUCGGAGCUCGUAUGGACAAGUUAACGGGGAUAAAAACGGGGUCCGGGAAAAGUCUAUUUAGGCUACCUAAUUUAAAGAGGAAAAGUUUGAUUUUUAUUUUUCUUUUUCCUUGUUUUUCUUAUUCCCUUCUCCCGAACACCGAGUCACCGACCCUAUUGCCAAAACCGCCACGCAACAGUUCCCUCUCCUCUUCCUCUCCUCUGGCCGUCGCGACGCCGACCUCGAUCCGCCGGCCUCUCAGCCAUAGCGCCGACCCUCAUUCUCCUCUUCUGAGCGCCGGCAGCCAAGCACCUCUCCUUUGCCUAGUGUUCGUGCCCUAGCCACUUAACGCCGCCGGUCAUCUCUUCCCUAGCUGUGAUCCCGACACCGGGGCUGUCGUUUAUCCACGCAACCAGCCAAAGCAGAGGUUCUUCCUCUUCCUCUCGAGUCCAUGGCCGAACUCCUCUCCGGCCAAGAGCUGAGCAUACUUCCUUUGGUCGGUCGGAGCUGAUCCGCCAUCUGCGCCGCGCCCUAGCUUUUCUAUUGCCGGUUCUUUCUUCACUCAUCUCAUCUAUCUGCUUUUGUUGAAUCGCUUGCAGAGAGGAAACUGCCGGCACAGAAAUUGGCUCCGGCUUUGCCUUGGUAGCAGCUUUACGGUAGCUUUGGCCAUGAAUUUCUGUCUGCAAGUAUCUCUUCCGUGGCUCAACUGAGGAGUCUCCAAAUCUAGGACUUUGACGCGAGACGAGCAUCUCGAUGUCGGAUUGGAC